GAUGAACGCUGGCGGCGUGCCUAAUACAUGCAAGUCGAGCGAGCAGACGAGGAGCUUGCUCCUCUGACGUUAGCGGCGGACGGGUGAGUAACACGUGGAUAACCUACCUAUAAGACUGGGAUAACUUCGGGAAACCGGAGCUAAUACCGGAUAAUAUAUUGAACCGCAUGGUUCAAUAGUGAAAGACGGUUUUGCUGUCACUUAUAGAUGGAUCCGCGCCGCAUUAGCUAGUUGGUAAGGUAACGGCUUACCAAGGCAACGAUGCGUAGCCGACCUGAGAGGGUGAUCGGCCACACUGGAACUGAGACACGGUCCAGACUCCUACGGGAGGCAGCAGUAGGGAAUCUUCCGCAAUGGGCGAAAGCUUGACGGAGCAACGCCGCGUGAGUGAUGAAGGUCUUCGGAUCGGAAAACUCUGUUAUUAGGGAAGAACAAAUGUGUAAGUAACUAUGCACGUCUUGACGGUACCUGAUCAGAAAGCCACGGCUAACUACGUG
rnacentral:rRNA from 1 species